CCACAGAACUUUCCAGAGAUGGAUUGGUGCCUUCGGGAACUGUGAGACAGGUGCUGCAUGGCUGUCGUCAGCUCGUGUUGUGAAAUGUUGGGUUAAGUCCCGCAACGAGCGCAACCCUUAUCCUUUGUUGCCAGCGGUCCGGCCGGGAACUCAAAGGAGACUGCCAGUGAUAAACUGGAGGAAGGUGGGGAUGACGUCAAGUCAUCAUGGCCCUUACGACCAGGGCUACACACGUGCUACAAUGGCGCAUACAAAGAGAAGCGACCUCGCGAGAGCAAGCGGACCUCAUAAAGUGCGUCGUAGUCCGGAUUGGAGUCUGCAACUCGACUCCAUGAAGUCGGAAUCGCUAGUAAUCGUGGAUCAGAAUGCCACGGUGAAUACGUUCCCGGGCCUUGUACACACCGCCCGUCACACCAUGGGAGUGGGUUGCAAAAGAAGUAGGUAGCUUAACCUUCGGGA
rnacentral:rRNA from 1 species